AUGACUGUUUCAGAUUACACGGAGGAGUUUCUAAGGCUUCAAGUGAGGUGCAACCUUGCUGAAACUGAAGAUCAACAAGUUGUAAGGUACAUCAAUGGUGUCAAUGAUGCUAUUCAAGAUCGAUUGAUGAUGCAACAAAUCUGGUCCAUUGAUCAAGUACAAGCUCUAGCCUUAAAGGCCGAGAGGUUUGUGAGGACAAGAAAGACAACUAAGACUCCAUAUCCUCCAUAUUCUCAUACCGAAGGCUUGUGUAGGGAUCACCCUAAUAGAGUGGAAGAAAAGCCCGCUCCACCUAAGGCAAAACAACCAAUCCCGAAGCAAACUAGAGGCAAGGGUAAGUCCAAUGAAGGCCCAGAAUGA
rnacentral:rRNA from 1 species